GUGGUUUAUGUUUAGUGAUAGUGUAGUGUUUGGCGAUAGUGGUUUAUGUUUAGUGAUAGUGUAGUGAUUAAUGUUUAGCGAUUGUGUAAUGGGUAAUGUUUAGAUUAUCAUUCAAAUGACAGAUUAGCUAUUUCAGAUACUCCCACGUUAAUGGCUGUAGAUGCCACUUGGAAGUGUAACUCCCACUAAUAUCGGACUGACCAGAACAUGCAUAUCCUGGUCCUGUCUUAGUUUAGGACCCUCAGACUACACAUUGGUGAUCUGUGUAUUGUAACUUGUUCAUUACAGGAAUUUAUGGCACUAUUAGUGAAAUAUGAU